rnacentral:rRNA from 1 species
UCUGUAGGUGGUUUAAUAAGUCUACUGUUAAAUCUUGAGGCUCAACCUCAAAAUCGCAGUCGAAACUAUUAGACUAGAGUAUAGUAGGGGUAAAGGGGAUUUCCAGUGGAGCGGUGAAAUGCGUAGAUAUUGGAAGGAACACCGAUGGCGAAGGCACUUUACUGGGCUAUUACUAACACUCAGAGACGAAAGCUAGGGUAGCAAAUG